AUGGAAGCCAUUUUCUUGGUACGACAACUUAUGGAGAGAUAUAGGGAGCAUAAGAAGGACUUGCAUAUGGUGUUCAUUGACUUGGAGAAGGCCUAUGAUAAGAUACCGCGGAAUGUCAUGUGGUGGGCCUUGGAGAAACACAAAGUCCCAGCAAAGUACAUUACCCUCAUCAAGGACAUGUACAAUAAUGUUGUGACAAGUGUUCGAACAAGUGAUGUCGACACCGAUGACUUCCCGAUUAAGAUAGGACUGCAUCAGGGGUCAGCUUUGAGCCCUUAUCUUUUUGCAUUGGUGAUGGAUGAGGUCACAAGGGGUAUACAAGGAGAUAUCCCAUGGUGUAUGCUCUUUGCGGAUGAUGUGGUGCUAGUUGACGAUAGUCGGAUGGGGGUAAAUAGGAAGUUAGAGUUAUGGAGACAAACCUUGGAAUCGGAAGGGUUUAGGCUUAGUAGAACUAAAACCGAGUACAUGAUGUGCGGUUUCAGUACUACUAGCUGUGAGGAGGAGGAGGUUAGCCUUGAUGGCCAGGUGGUACCUCGGAAGGACACCUUUCGGUAUUUGGGGUCAAUGUUGCAGGAGGAUGGGGGUAUUGAUGAAGAUGUGAACCAUCGAAUCAAAGCCGGAUGGAUGAAGUGGCGCCAAGCUUCUGGCAUUCUCUGUGACAAGAGAGUGCCACAAAAGCUAAAAGGCAAGUUCUACAGGACAGCGGUUCGACCCGCAAUGUUGUAUGGCGCGGAGUGUUGGCCGACUAAAAGGCGACAUGUUCAACAGUUAGGUGUGGCGGAGAUGCGUAUGUUGAGAUGGAUGUGUGGCCACACGAGGAAGGAUCGAGUCCGGAAUGAUGAUAUACGAGAUAGAGUUGGGGUAGCACCAAUUGAGGAGAAGCUUGUCCAACAUCGUUUGAGAUGGUUUGGGCAUAUUCAGCGCAGGCCUCCAGAAGCUCCAGUGCAUAGCGGACGGCUAAAGCGUGCGGAGAAUGUCAAGAGAGGGCGGGGUCGACCGAGUUUGACAUGGGAGGAGUCCGUUAAGAGAGACCUGAAGGAUUGGAGUAUCGACAAAGAGCUAGCUAUGGACAGGGGUGCGUGGAAGCUUGCUAUCCAUGUGCCAGAGCCAUGA
rnacentral:rRNA from 1 species